ACGACCUUACUUGAACAGGAUUUGUUCUAUAAGCUCGUACCUCUGUAUCCUUCAGUUCUAAGGAGACAUGAAACCAAGCUUCGUGGAUGAACAAUGGCUAGAGCGUGAGUAACACCAUGGUACCCUCAUUUGACGGCUGUUAGGAACAAAUGUAUUUAGAUUUUGAUGAUACCAAACUCUCUUAGGCU
rnacentral:snoRNA from 1 species